ACACUUCGUUUAUGCGGGAACGACUGAACGUAGUUUAAGCAGGAUUACCCAAGUCUCCUUGACCGUGGACACGACUAUUCGAAUAGUUUUCAGUCUGUAGAGGUGGUACGCUGUACCCACGAGAUUAGGAAAACUUCCAUGUCAUCCACGACUCGCGGUAUAUAACAUACCUGAGGUAAGUACCCAAUCAUUGCCUUUCCCCUGAUGACAGUAGACAAAGAGUCCACUCGAUUGGUACCCAGCCCACAUGAUGUACGUCUUACGAGCACCAACUCUGGACCGUAUCAUCCAUGUAGGGACCAACGGUGUGCCCGGAACACGUAAAAACGACAUAGUCGACCUACCCGGUACGAGCCCAUCACGAGAGUGACCACAUAUCACAUCCGCCACUAGUAAUGCAGGCUCUUUGCUAGCAUCGACCAAAGUAAUCAACAAAGCCCCGUCCCAUAAAGGGGUAUCGUGGUCGUACAUGUAAGGUUGUGAUGGUCGACACAUCAUAAAUCUAAUCCUAUUUCCGAAACCACUCA
rnacentral:lncRNA from 1 species